rnacentral:rRNA from 1 species
UACGGAGGGUGCAAGCGUUAUCCGGAUUCACUGGGUUUAAAGGGUGCGUAGGUGGGCAGUUAAGUCAGUGGUGAAAUCUCCGGGCUCAACCCGGAAACUGCCAUUGAUACUAUCUGUCUUGAAUAUCGUGGAGGUAAGCGGAAUAUGUCAUGUAGCGGUGAAAUGCUUAGAUAUGACAUAGAACACCUAUUGCGAAGGCAGCUUACUACCCGAAUAUUGACACUGAGGCACGAAAGCGUGGGGAUCAAACAGG